UACACUCCUGCGGGAGGCAGCAGUGGGGAAUAUUGCACAAUGGGCGCAAGCCUGAUGCAGCCAUGCCGCGUGUAUGAAGAAGGCCUUCGGGUUGUAAAGUACUUUCAGCGGGGAGGAAGGCAAUACGGUUAAUAACCGUGUUGAUUGACGUUACCCGCAGAAGAAGCACCGGCUAACUCCGUGCCAGCAGCCGCGGUAAUACGGAGGGUGCAAGCGUUAAUCGGAAUUACUGGGCGUAAAGCGCACGCAGGCGGUCUGUCAAGUCGGAUGUGAAAUCCCCGGGCUCAACCUGGGAACUGCAUUCGAAACUGGCAGGCUUGAGUCUUGUAGAGGGGGGUAGAAUUCCAGGUGUAGCGGUGAAAUGCGUAGAGAUCUGGAGGAAUACCGGUGGCGAAGGCGGCCCCCUGGACAAAGACUGACGCUCAGGUGCGAAAGCGUGGGGAGCAAACAGGAUUAGAUACCCUUGUAGUCC
rnacentral:rRNA from 1 species